rnacentral:sRNA from 1 species
UCUUUUCAGUCAUCAUAAUUUGGAUGAGAAACAUGUGGAUAUAUAUAACGUAGAGAGACCAAAUGGACAUACAUAUGCAUAAUGCAAGCUGAUGUGGAUGCACGAGUUCCUCUACAGUAACUACAUUUAUUCCCGCUGGCUUAGAUAUAUGUAUGAUGGAUGGAGACUUAAAUAUGAAAUUAACUAUACACAGCAUAAGCUGGAUCACAGAUCAAAUUCAAUUAACUGGCUUUACGAGUACUAUUUUUUCCAAAAAUUUUUAAUGCAGACGUGUAAGGAUGUCCAGACCAGUCAGUAGCAUUAGCGGACAAGUCGGGUACGCAUAGUUUUUUGCCGUAUUCGGCAGACACUAUUCUUGUAUACAGUCGAGAUCGAAACCGAAGUUAUUUGACAAAAAGUGUGAAAUUAGCCAGAUCGUGUUGUACGACUUUAUUUUAAAAAUAAAUGUUUAUUAUUGAGAUUUGAAUAGA